GCUUUUAAAGGAUAACAGCAUAUCCGUUGGUCUUAGGAACCAAAGACUCUUGGCGCAAAUCCAAGUAAAAGCU